rnacentral:ncRNA from 1 species
UCUGGUGCUGUUACUUUGAAGAAAUUUGAGUGCUCAAAGCAAGCCUAUGCUCUGUAUACAUUAGCAUGGGAUAACAUUAUAGAAUUUUGGUCCUAUUACUUUGGCCUUCGGGAUCGGAGUAAUGAUUAACAGGGACAGUCGGGGGCAUUCG